rnacentral:pre_miRNA from 1 species
UAAAUUCAUUUUGGAUCUGAACUCUUGUGGGUCUGCAAGCAUUUUUCUAAUCUGUAGCACCAUGAGAUUCAGCUCUAGCGUGGAUUUC